UUAUUGAUACAGUUUCUGUACUAUAUUGGCA
rnacentral:misc_RNA from 1 species